rnacentral:rRNA from 1 species
CCUACGGGUGGCAGCAGUGAGGAAUAUUGGUCAAUGGGCGCGAGCCUGAACCAGCCAAGUCGCGUGAAGGAUGACUGCCCUACGGGUUGUAAACUUCUUUUAUAAAGGAAUAAAGUGAGGCACGUGUGCCUUUUUGUAUGUACUUUAUGAAUAAGGAUCGGCUAACUACGUGCCAGCAGCCGCGGUAAUACGGAGGAUCCGAGCGUUAUCCGGAUUUAUUGGGUUUAAUGGGAGCGUAGUUGGGUUGUUAAGUAAGUUGGGAAAGUUUGCGGCUCAACCUUAGAAGUGAAGUUGAUAAUGGUGGCUUUGAGUAUAGUUGAGGUAGGCGGAAUGCGUGGUGUAGGGGUGAAAUGCAGAGAUA